rnacentral:rRNA from 1 species
GCAUGUGGUGGAUGCCUUGGCAGUCAGAGGCGAUGAAAGACGUGAUAGCCUGCGAAAAGCUCCGGGGAGGCGGCAAAUAUCCUUUGAUCCGGAGAUGUCUGAAUGGGGGAACCCACCUACUUUAAGGUAGGUAUUGCAACAUGAAUACAUAGUGUUGCAAGGCGAACGAGGGGAAGUGAAACAUCUCAGUACCCUUAGGAAAAGAAAUCAAUUGAGAUUCCCUCAGUAGCGGCGAGCGAACGGGGAUCAGCCCAUUAAGUUAUGUGUGUUUUAGUGGAACGCUCUGGGAAGUGCGAACGUAGAGGGUGAUAUUCCCGUACACGAAAGGGCACACAUAAUGAUGACGAGUAGGGCGAGGCACGUGAAACCUUGUCUGAAUAUGGGGGGACCAUCCUCCAAGGCUAAAUACUCCUGACUGACCGAUAGUGAACCAGUACCGUGAGGGAAAGGCGAAAAGAACCCCUGUGAGGGGAGUGAAAUAGAUCCUGAAACCGCAUGCAUACAAGCAGUGGGAGCACCUUCGUGGUGUGACUGCGUACCUUUUGUAUAAUGGGUCAGCGACUUAUAUUCAGUAGCGAGGUUAACCGUAUAGGGGAGCCGUAGAGAAAUCGAGUCUUAAUAGGGCGUUUAGUUGCUGGGUAUAGACCCGAAACCAGGCGAUCUAUCCAUGAGCAGGUUGAAGGUUGGGUAACACUAACUGGAGGACCGAACCCACUGUCGUUGAAAAGCCAGGGGAUGACUUGUGGAUAGGGGUGAAAGGCUAAUCAAGCCUGGUGAUAGCUGGUUCUCCCCGAAAGCUAUUUAGGUAGCGCCUCGGACGAAUACCAUAGGGGGUAGAGCACUGUUUCGGCUAGGGGGUCAUCCCGACUUACCAAACCGAUGCAAACUCCGAAUACCUAUGAGUACUAUCCGGGAGACAGACUGCGGGUGCUAACGUCCGUAGUCAAGAGGAAAACAAUCCAGACCGCCAGCUAAGGCCCCAAAAUCAUAGUUAAGUGGGAAACGAUGUGGGAAGGCAUAGACAGCUAGGAGGUUGGCUUAGAAGCAGCCACCCUUUAAAGAAAGCGUAAUAGCUCACUAGUCGAGUCGGCCUGCGCGGAAGAUGUAACGGGGCUAAAACUAUGUGCCGAAGCUGCGGAUGUAUACUUUGUAUACGUGGUAGGGGAGCGUUCUGUAAGCCGAUGAAGGUGUGUUGAGAAGCAUGCUGGAGGUAUCAGAAGUGCGAAUGCUGACGUGAGUAACGACAAAACGGGUGAAAAACCCGUUCGCCGAAAGACCAAGGGUUCCAGUCCAACGUUAAUCGGGGCUGGGUGAGUCGACCCCUAAGGCGAGGCCGAAAGGCGUAGUCGAUGGGAAAAUGGUUAAUAUUCCAUUACUUCUGUGUAAUGCGAUGAGAGGACGGAGAAGGCUAAAUCAGCCUGGCGUUGGUUGUCCAGGUGAAAGGAUGUAGGCAUGUAUCUUAGGCAAAUCCGGGGUACUCUAUGCUGAGAUCUGAUAGCAAGCUGUACUUGUACAGCGAAGUGGUUGAUGCCAUGCUUCCAGGAAAAGUCUCUAAGCUUCAGUUACACAGGAAUCGUACCCGAAACCGACACAGGUGGUCAGGUCGAGUAGACCAAGGCGCUUGAGAGAACUCUGCUGAAGGAACUAGGCAAAAUGGUACCGUAACUUCGGGAGAAGGUACGCUGUUGUUGGUGAUGGAACUCGCUUCCUGAGCUGACGACAGCCGCAGAAACCAGGCCGCUGCAACUGUUUAUUAAAAACAUAGCACUCUGCAAACACGAAAGUGGACGUAUAGGGUGUGAUGCCUGCCCGGUGCUGGAAGGUUAAUUGAUGGGGUUAGCGUAAGCGAAGCUCUUGAUCGAAGCCCCAGUAAACGGCGGCCGUAACUAUAACGGUCCUAAGGUAGCGAAAUUCCUUGUCGGGUAAGUUCCGACCUGCACGAAUGGCAUAAUGAUGGCGGCGCUGUCUCCAGCAGAGGCUCAGUGAAAUCGAAAUCGCUGUGAAGAUGCAGUGUACCCGCGGCUAGACGGAAAGACCCCGUGAACCUUUACUGCAGCUUGACACUGAACUUUGACCUUACUUGUGUAGGAUAGGUGGGAGGCUUUGAAGCUGGAACGCUAGUUCCAGUGGAGCCGUCCUUGAAAUACCACCCUGGUAAUGUUGAGGUUCUAACUCUGUCCCGUGAUCCGGGACGAGGACCGUGUCUGGUGGGUAGUUUGACUGGGGCGGUCUCCUCCUAAAGAGUAACGGAGGAGUACGAAGGUGCGCUCAGCGUGGUCGGAAAUCACGCGUAGAGUAUAAAGGCAAAAGCGCGCUUAACUGCGAGACCCACAAGUCGAGCAGGUACGAAAGUAGGUCUUAGUGAUCCGGUGGUUCUGUAUGGAAGGGCCAUCGCUCAACGGAUAAAAGGUACUCUGGGGAUAACAGGCUGAUACCGCCCAAGAGUUCAUAUCGACGGCGGUGUUUGGCACCUCGAUGUCGGCUCAUCUCAUCCUGGGGCUGAAGCAGGUCCCAAGGGUAUGGCUGUUCGCCAUUUAAAGAGGUACGCGAGCUGGGUUUAGAACGUCGUGAGACAGUUCGGUCCCUAUCUACCGUGGGCGCUGGAAAUUUGAGAGGAUCUGCUCCUAGUACGAGAGGACCAGAGUGGACGAACCUCUGGUGUACCGGUUGUGACGCCAGUCGCAUCGCCGGGUAGCUAUGUUCGGAAGGGAUAACCGCUGAAAGCAUCUAAGCGGGAAGCCUACCUCAAGAUAAGAUUUCCCUAGGACUUUAUGUCCUCUAAAGAGCCGUUCGAGACUAGGACGUUGAUAGGUUGGAUGUGGAAGCAUAGUGAUAUGUGAAGCUGACCAAUACUAAUUGCUCGUGAGGCUUGACUAU